UUUCUUCAAUGGGACUGGGAUUUGAACUCAGGGCUUUGUGCUUGCAAAGCAGGUGCUCUACCGCUUGAGCCACACCUACAGCCCCUGGAGUCAGGAUUCUGAAGACCUGGAGUUGGAACAACUGUGCUGGCUGAAUUCUACAGUCCUGUCUGCCUUGGAAUGCCUCCCAGGAAGCAGGAGAGGGUGUGGGCCAAAGUCACACAGCCCCUGGUAGGUUGGAAGAUCACUACAGAUAGGAUUGCAUUUCAUUUUUCAGAUAGUGGUAAAACCCAGAGAGGGGAAGGAUCUGCCUGGAGUCACACAGCAAGUGUGUGUCAAAGGCUAAGGCCCCUUUCCCCUACACCUCAGAGUAACACCCCAGGCCAUGCCAAUCUCUGAGACUACCUGGGAGCGGGUGGGCAGCGUGCAGCCCAGAAGGUGACAGGAAGUACUUGGGAGCUACAUGGGUCAGUAAGGAGCCCAGUCGGUCAUGCUAAGGACACACGUUUAUACUUCUGCCCUUUCCCGGCAAAGUUUUACAGCCUCCCAGAAUGCCCUAGGGAACCCCUUCCUCUUAUUCUUUUUGUUGCUUUUUUGAGAUAGGGUCUCAGUAUGUACCUCAGGAUGGCCUCAAACUUGCAAUCCUCCUGCCCCAGACUCAAGAAUGCUGAGAUUGAGAACACGCACCACCAUGCCCAUUCUCUUCCUCUUAUUCCUGAAGGAGAUCCUUCACUGCUCUGGCCCUCAGUCUAGCCAUCUGUAAAACGGUCUCCAAGUUCCUUUUGGUGGGGCAAUCUAGAAACCUAGGCUUUCGGACUCUUAGGCUUUUACGAGGUAGGAAUUGGAAGAGGGUGGAAAGGGGGCUUCCAGAGCGAGGAGCCUUUGUUUGGGAAGCCACCGAGAGUGCAAAGCACGCGGACCCCCGAGCAGUGCCUAGCCAGGGCAGGGAGAGGUAGGGCCUCGAGGGCGUGCCCCGCGCACGUGGGCGUGACCUGGGGGGCGUGUUCUCCCUUCGCCCCGCCCCUGGACGUAGUCGCGGAACUCGCUCCGGGGAGGGAGGAGCGCGCCGCCCGCGCGCCGCCUGGCCGGGCGGAAAGUUUUCCUGACGGAGUUUUUGGCGGCGGCGUUGGAGGCUGGAGCGGGCCAUGGACGCGCUCAAGUCUGCGGGGCGGGCGCUGAUCCGGAGCCCCAGCCUGGCCAAGCAGAGCUGGGGGGGCGGCGGCCGGCACCGCAAGCUGCCCGAGAACUGGACAGACACCCGGGAGACACUGCUCGAGGGCAUGUUGUUCAGCCUCAAGUACCUGGGCAUGACACUGGUGGAGCGACCCAAGGGUGAGGAGCUGUCAGCCGCCGCUGUCAAGAGGAUCGUGGCCACGGCCAAGGCCAGUGGGAAGAAGCUGCAGAAGGUAACUCUCAAGGUGUCGCCACGGGGAAUUAUCCUGACUGACAACCUCACCAACCAGCUCAUUGAGAAUGUGUCCAUUUACAGGAUCUCCUACUGCACAGCAGACAAAAUGCACGACAAAGUAUUUGCAUACAUCGCCCAGAGCCAGCACAGUGAGAAUCUCGAGUGCCAUGCCUUUCUCUGUACCAAGCGAAAAAUGGCACAGGCUGUCACCCUCACUGUAGCCCAGGCCUUCAAAGUUGCCUUUGAAUUCUGGCAGGUGUCCAAGGAAGAGAAAGAGAAGAGGGAGAAAGCCAACCAAGAAGGAGGGGACAUCUUGGGGACCUGCCGUGACAGCGCCCCCUCAUUGAAAAGCUUGGUUGCCACUGGAAACCUGCUGGACUUGGAAGAGACGGCAAAGGCCCCACUGUCUACGGUUAGUGCUAACACUGCUAACAUGGAUGAGGUACCACGACCUCAAGCCUUGAGUAGCAGCAGCGUCAUCUGGGUGAGUAGCUGUAUGGCCUGGGACCCAGUCAGCUUCUGGGUCCAGGCUACAACAUGUGGGCCUCUGGGAGGACCAGACCCAGCCCAGCAGCGCCUACACCCAGGGUGGAGGAUGAACAAUGUCCCCUUUGAACCCAGGGCUGUGUCCCCAGCAGGCCCAGCUCCCAGCACAGCUGUCUCCUCACAAUGCCUGGCCUCUUGGCCUGAGCAUCAUGACUGCCCACGACAGGACCAGCCAAAGGAGCCCUUGUUCUUGGUGUGGCAGAAUUCUGCCUGACACUCCUCCCCACUCUGCCAUCUAAAUGCAGAGACGCAGACUUGGACCCUUGUCAGCUUGGCUCCCAACUCCCUGUGACUCAGGGCAAGCCCCUGACCUCUCUGUGUCUCGGCUUUUUUGUCCCCUCACUGAGGAAAUGAGGAGAUUGUCUGCCCACAGAAUCUCCCAGAGGAAUCUGAGGGGUUUUUAUUUUAAAUUUUUGUUUGAAGAUGAUUUCAGAUUAUGUUACAAAAUUAGUAGAAAGAUUUCCAGCUUGCCUUUCCAUCCAGAUGUCAACUAGAUGUUGACAUCUUCAUAACCACAUUUACUACCAAGUAAUUGUCAGUGACACAGCCCUGUUACAUAACCUGCAGAACUGAUUGCCCUUUUUCACUUGUGCCUCCUUUGUCCUUUUUCUGCUCCAGCAUCCAUAUCCCUUUGCUUGUUAAUUUUGAAAAAUUUAGAAUAUGGAAGGACUUUAACAACGUCAGUUUCCUCUGACUUUUGGGGGCAACUGGGCUGUCUCUUGAACCUGUCCUCUGCUGUCUGGGGACUUCCCUACCCGACUCACCCCAGAGGCCAAGGAGGAACCUUGCCUGAACUUUGGUCUGAGUCUCUGAGAUCCUGACUGGAGUUAUUCCUCAUUUAUUUGACACAGGUCUUGCCCAGGCCGGUCUCAAACUCCCAAUCUUCCUGCCUCAGUCUCCUGAGUGCUAGAAGUACAAAUUUGGGGUUUGGGCUGACUUUGGAAGUAGAUGAAGGCAGACAUCUUCUUUCUCUACCCUUUCCUUUUUGGAAAUCAUCAGGUCCCUCAAUUUACAGAAGAAAAAGCUGAGUGUCAAAGAGGCUGUGGCUGUGGGACUUGCCUCAGAUCUCCCAGGCUGCUACUGGCAGAGCUGGGAGUUGAACCUGCGCCCACCUCCAGAAGCCUUGUUCUUGUCCCAUACCCCAGUUUCAGGUUCAUCAGAGACUGAUGGCACCACCCAAACAGGAGGCCUGCCUGUACCCGUUCCUCCGGCAACCAUUCCCUUUAGUGUCCUGAGUCCCUGUGACUUGCCCAAGUCUUCCCCACAGUGAGCAUGGGUUCCCUACUCAACAUCUCACCUCCUGCUUUGUUUCCCCAAGGAGCUGGACGAUGGCCUGGACGAAGCAUUUUCCAGGUUGGCGCAGUCGCGGACGAACCCACAGGUCCUAGACACUGGGCUGUCAGCACAGGACAUCCAUUAUGCCCAGUGCCUCUCUCCCACCG